rnacentral:lncRNA from 1 species
UAUUUAACUUGAGAAAAUAAAAACCACUAAACAUACCUUCAUCUUCUAGUUCUUCACAUCCAGGAUCAACUUCAACCAUAUUUGAUGGAUUAGUGCAACUAUUCAAGUUGCCAUGGGCACUCUCUUGACAAUUCUUCGCAUAUGAUCCUUUUGGUUGUCCUCGUCCCUUUUUCUUAGGCAUAAUGGUACCUGAGUCACAAAGUUGACAUAUCACAACAACGAUUGCCAUUUUCCUACAAAAUACAAAUAAAAAGGAUAAUAAGAUAAAGUCAAUCCAUGUGUAUCUUCCUCCUGUUCCUCAAUAAAGUCAGGAUCAGAUUUCAACACAUUCAAAGGAAUAUUAGGAAAUUUUCUUUUCUUUAUUUUUCCUUUUAGUCAAUAAUUUAUUGGACAAAGUUAUAUUAUUUCCUAAUAAAUAAGCAGCCUCAAGAAGUUUGCUCAAACGCAUACCAAGGAGUCAAGGACUCUAAUUUUCAGAGGAAUUGAAGGAUAUAUAUGGGUAUUCCUGAUAAACUGUUUAAAGUUAUUUGCACGAAUAACAAAAAGGCAUACCAAAUCAUGUCUUUUUAGUUCCCUGUUAAUCUUCUUAGUAUUGACCCAUUCGUACCAAAGAUUUCUUUUCAGUACAAAGUUGCAACAAACUGAACGAAAGAACUCGCAUGAAAAAUGAAAGCAGAGCUGGUAACAAGACAAAAUUAAUGGAACAAGGAUGUUGGAAAAUAGAUUUACUCAGUGAAUAAAAUGUAACUCCUCCAAAUUUGAAUAUAAGAUAAAAUAAACUAAUAUCAUGGGAAUCAAAAGAAUCAUUGGAAAUAAAAUCUGAACUAAAUAAAGAAUAUUUUUGGGAUGAUUUCAUUAAGGAAAAUGCUAAUCAGUGCCUUGAUGAAUUAAAAAUGGAAAGUUUUCUAUUGGAAGUGUAGCAGUGAAUUCUCCUGAGAUUUCCAAUGCAACUUCAACAUAAUAUUUAAUAUUAAAACCCUAUGCUCUAACCGUCAGAGCCUCUGUAGCCUCCAUCACUCUGGUGUCGGCGCCUUCACCGGCGAAGGUUUUGCGGUGCGACUGGAAGUCCUCCCAUGGACUCGGCUGCUCGCCACCGAGGACGAACUUAAAGAGGAGGGAGCCAAAGUCCCAUGGCUGGACGGUGAAGGGAGACUUUUGGUGCUCGAUGUAGAAGGAGCUGAUCGCGGAGAGCGGGAUCGUGUGCAGCGGAAGCAGCAUAGAGUAAUAGUCUCGCAGCACGUUCGACGGCACCGUUCCGAUUGGAACCACCACCACCUGGAUCAUCGCCGAUCCCUCGAUGCUCACUUCCAAAAUAAGGUAAUGGAAGAGGGUAGGUAUCGUUUUUCUAAGGCUAGGGAUCAAGGGCAAAAAGAAAGGCCAUUUCAUAGAUAAUGGCAGCACAAUUUUUUCGUUAAUGAAAAAUUAAUUUUAAAAAUGCAACAACCAUGGUGAUGUAUUAGAAAACGAGGUUGUAUUGAAUGCUUGUAGUUAAAUACAACGACAUUUUGUACUAAAACAUGGUCGUUAAUGAACAGCCUCAAAUACCACUUCGCUUUUGGCUGAAAACGUUGUCGUUCAUCUCAUGGUAUUUACAAAAAUGCCACUGUGUUAUAUUCAACAACGGUGGCCCAAGCACCAAUGUCGUACUGUAGUCAUAGAACAUAGCUUUUUUAGUAGUGAAAAGUCUGAGUGUCGAAUCCACAUGGAUUUUGUUUGUACUUAGGUAAAUGAAUAUAUAAUUUUUUCAAGCAAUAAAUAAAAUGGUUUAAAAGGUUGUGAAGAAAAUAGUAAAACAAAUUAUCAUAAAUCAAAUUAAAAUAAACAAGAGAGAAAAAUAAACAUAAAAGGGAAUUAAUUAAUUAAAACAAAAAAGAUGAGAGAAGUUAAUUCAGAAGAUGAGUGUGUUGAGGACUUAGCCUAUUGAAGCUAUUCUUGAUGUAAUGUUAAUAAUUUUUCUCUAUUUAUGUUUAUUCUUAUUUUCACGUAUCUACUCAUAUACUCUAACCAUGAUCCCUCAAGUAAAAGAGCCUAAUUUAUCUAUUUUUUCUUCUAAACCCCUUUGCAGAAAUAUAACAAUAAAUUACAUUAAGGAUAAAGAUGUAUAACAGACUAAACAAAAUUAACCUAUCCCUAGUGAUGAAUUAUUUAGAUACCCAUUCCAGUUCUAUUAGAAAAUAAUGCUUCCCAACGUUAUCCCUAAAACUAACCAUGCAAAUAGAUAAUCGUCACAAACAAUAAAAUUAAGUAGAUAAUGGUGGAAAAAUAAUAUUUAUAAAUAGAUAGGAAAAGAAAUUAUAUCAAGAGCAGUUGACUACUAAGCUCCCAACAAAAAUGGUUUAGUCUUUCAUUGUCAUAAGAGGUUUUACAAUUGCAAGGGGAUAAUAUUUAGAAAAAAGGAACUUUAGGAAAGGAAUGGAGGUAAGGAAUGACUUCUAAUGAUUGUUUCUCUAACUUUUGCCCUUUACCUUUCUAUAAGGAAUUGAAAUCUCUUGAAUUUUUUUGUGUUUUUUCCUUCUUCUCUCUCUUUUUAUAGGUGCAGUUCAACAUGAUUUUCACGCAACCUUGGCGCUAAGCGCGAUUGCCGUGCUUAGCAAGUAUGGUGGUAUUCAUGCUCAGCAUUAUCUCUUGCUAAGCACACCUUCACUUUCCAAAAUUAUCCAUACAUCCUAGCGCUAAGCGUGUGUUGCCGCUGAGCAUGUGUAUCACACUGAGCGUCUGAGACACACUAAGUGAACAACUUUGGAUCUUCAAUUUUCUUGGGCUUUACUUUGUUUUUCUAGGCCAAUUAUUCACCAAACAUUAUAAAUUCAUGAGCUUUUAAUAUUUUCUGCACAAAAACUUAAAUGACGUUAAAAUUUCAAUUAUUUGCCCAAUAAAGAAGAAAUAAGAGAGAAAAUUAUUAAUUCCUAUAUAAUUUAAUUCCAAAAUAUACCUAUACAUAUUAGUUAUCACUAACUAAUUAGCGUAAACAAAGACAUCAUGAGGUCUUUAUAGCAUCCCUACAUCGGAAUCAUAAUUGACUCAUUUGUUGAUUAUGGUUAGUUGUGAUUAAUGUAGUUUAAAAACUACAUUAGAUGUUGACUUUUGUCUUAUAAACUUAAUUCUGAAAUUAAGUAGCAGGGCAUUAUCAAGGAAACAAUUUUCAAUUUCAAUUCCCCACCUAAGACCAUAAACAACAACACCUUAAUUUAUUUAUUAGCCAAAAAAUGUUAUUCCAUAAAUUAGAUAAUUAGAUCUUAUAUAUAGAAACAAAAAGGUAUAUUAAUUUAAAACAUACAUAACAUCAAGAGUGCAAUAAAAGUAAUUAAUAAUUUCAAAACAUCAUCCAUAAAUUAACACAACCUCACCAGCAUACCUGAAAAACCAAACUUAACAAUCUGUAUAACCUGAACUUAUAACUUACAUCUAUGCUCCCACCCAAGAUUAUAGGAUAACAAAUACAGUUAAAACUCUAUAAAUUAAUAAUAUUAGGACCGAAGAAAUUUAUUAAUUUAGAGAGUUAUUAAUUUGUCAAUAAAUUAAUAAUUAUUAAUUUAAAGAGUUUUUAAGUAAUUAUACUGUACAUACCAAACAAAAAGACAAAUUAGUCUAUGCCUCUUAGAAUUACAUUGCAGUGAACCUUGAGACUCAACGUAAAUUAGUAACUAUUGUGUUCAUAUACAUUGUAAAUCAAUAAUGACUUUUGAAGUACAUUAAAUAUAAACAAGAAGAACAAAUGUGUUCAAUGUAUUCUUAAGCAAGUUUGACAUAUAUAAAUUACAUGAAUGUGUUAGAGUAUUCAAACCAUAUAUUACAAGAUGGCUUCUCAUCUAAAAGGUGUUGCAAAAUCAACUAUGUCAAAUCAAAUACGUAAGGAGUUGUGUGAGUACAAGAAGCCUUUUUAGCAGUUUCAGUUUCUAUGAAUUAUUAAUUUAUGAUUUUCUUGGGACCAAAAAUUAUAAAGGGAUCUCACGAAAAAUUAUUAUCUUAUUAUUUUAUCGAGUUUUUCAAUUUUUUACAUUGGCCCAAGUCGGGACCGGACAAAUUUAUUAUUUUAGAGAGUUUAUUAAUUUACCGAGUAUUAAUUUCCCCAAGAGUUCACAUCGACGGGAAGGUUUGGCACCUCGAUGUCAGCUCUUCGCCACCUAGGGCUGUAGUAUGUUCCAAGGGUUGGGCUGUUCGUCCAUUAAAGCGGUACGUGAGCUGUGUUCGUCCAUUAAAGCGGUAUGUGAGCUGGGUUCAGAACGUCAUGAGACAGUUCGGUCCAUAUCCGGUGUGGACGUUAGAGCAUCGAGAGGACCUUUCCCUAGUACGAGAGGAUUGAGAAGGACGCACCUCUGGUGUGCCAGUUAUCGUGCCCACGAUAAACGCUGGGUAGCCAAGUGCGGAGCGGAUAACUGCUGAAAGCAUCUAAGUAGUACUGUACAUAAAACAACUUUAGAUAACUAUAAAAAUGCUGCUCUAACCCAAGACAAAACAUGAAUCAUCAAAGUGUGAUGGCUAUAUUUGGUGAAUCUAGCUGUCAAUGCAACAUAAUGUUCAAUUUCACAUCCAUUGACUACAAAACUUUCGAUGUAAAUACUGAACCUAAAAGAAACCUCCCUUCCCCACACACCAACUAUAUGCUAAUUCAAAAGCCAUCGCCUUCUAGUUCUAGCACUUUAUAUAUUUAUUCAAAACCUGCCCACUUUGUUGUUGGUACCACGCACCUAAUUAUUGAUCUUUUUACUCUAAGUUCUUGCAAAAGAUACAAAGUAAUUGAGUAGAAUAUCAAAAUGAAAAUUUAGUCAUAGAGAUAUCAGACAUUAUUAUGUGUUUAAAAAUGAUUGUCUCGUAUAUUUUGAAUAGGUACUGUCAAUAUGUUCAAGUUGAGGCAUCUAAUGUUCCAAAGAGCAUAUGGUUUGAGACUAAUCAAUGCAGAGUCGAUAUCCAUUGAUCAAUGUUAUUUAAUUAAUCAAUGUUAUUUAAUUAAGAAUAUGAUUUACUUUAUUGUCUAAGUACUUUUUAGAUAUGGCUGGCACUAAUUGUACUCUCUGUAGCAGCAAAGUUGUGAUAUAUAUAUAUAUAUAUAUAUAUAUAUAUAUAUAUAUAUAUAUAUAUAUAUAUAUUCCAACAAUAUUGCAAGUCUUUCAUUCUUUAAUUUUUUAACUUCUUGAUGUAUUUUUUUUAAUUAUUAGAAAAGAAAGACAACUAUGAUCUUUUACAUUUGAAUCUCCAAUUGAGAUAAGCAGUGUGAUGUAAAAAGCCAACAAAAAUUUAUUUAAUAAAAAGACAGAGAAUAUAGUUUCCAGUCACACUUAAAUAAUCUUGAUGAAUUGAGACAAAGUUAGAUUGCCCUCAAAAUUUCUGGAAUUGAUAUAAUAUCUUGUUCAUAUAUUAAAUCCAGUUAGAACAAAAUGCAUAAUAUUAUGUCAUUUAAAGUGGGAUUGCAUUUGUUAAGGUAUAACAUUGAGUGCAGGUCUAAGCCUUUAGCAGCCUAAGGAAAUACUAAAUGGUUUUAAAAAAAGUUAAAACUUAAAAACACUUUUUAGAAAACAUUAUCAACAAAGAAGUAAACAAAAUCAGGAACAAAAGAAGAAAGUCAUUAGUCAAAUAGUAUUCAUAAUUAUACCUUUCAUUAAGGGUGCAAGUUUUAAUUUGAAUUUCACCAUAUUAUCCAAUACACUGGUUAUAUAUUGAAAACUUCGAUUAUUUUCAAUGCAUAAAAAAACAUUAGAAGUAAUAAAUAAUUAUGUUGGUGUGCAGUGAAAAUAAAUGAGAAACAUGAAUUACUACACAAAACAUGUUAGCAGUUAUCAUAUAGACAUGAGUAACGUAAAUUACCAUUUCUAGGAUUUUAAGUUAAACAACAACUUGUAUUAUGAGAAAAAAAGUGUGACUGAACUUAUACAUGAAAAAUGAAAAUUUAAGAGAAAAUAGAUUAGUUGAUAUCAAUAAAAGAAAUUUGAAUGAAAAGGGAAAAAGGUAUUGUUAUUCUUUUCCUUGAUGUUUUUUUUCCUCAAUAAAAAUCUCUUUGAGAUAUAAAAAUAAAGGUAAUGAAAAUUAGUGCACAUUCAAGAUUACGGCUCUCUCCAACUUUUCUUUAUCAUGAAAAGCUCAUUAUUUUUUAUCCUACAAAGAAAGAAAGCUACACACAAGAAAACUACAACGUUUUUUAGAAACAUAACACAUAGCAAAUUGAAUUUUAGACAAAAAUAAUCAUAUUACGUUAAUUUCAAACCUAUGAAUCACGCUCAAGACAUCUUUAUUAUUGACGUAUUUGUGCGUUAUCAAAUUUCAGAAAUUGGUUUCAUUUCAUGUGUUGUUUGUUUCAUCCCUUGUUGUUUGACAUGUUAGUGGUGCCUACAUCACAUUGAAUUUUUUUUUGGUAAUUAAUAAAUAAAACGUAACAAAGGAAAGCACAAGACUUGUAGCCACCACAGACCAACUAUUUCCUACAUAUCCAUAAAGAAAAACCACAAACGAAUUACUCUAACCUGCAACCUUCAACCAAUAUUUCCAGGAGCAAUUUUUAAAAUCUCUGUCACCCUUUUCGCCAUUUGCGAAAAGAAAUACUCACUGAAAUUUGAUGCUGAAUUAGACCAAAA